ACACGGUACACCCCCCCUACACAUAACUAUUACAUAUGAGGUGUUCGGGUCUACUGGACCCCAGUGUAAUUAUUACAGUGUAAUAAUUAUAGGUGCUAUGAAACUAUGUUGUCUUUCUGCACCUGCUAUUCCCACACAAAGUUA